GACGAACGCUGGCGGCGUGCUUAACACAUGCAAGUCGAGCGGUAAGGCCCUUUCGGGGGUACGACGAGCGGCGAACGGGUGAGUAACACGUGGGUGACCUCGCCCUCCAGCUCUGGGAGUAAGCCUGGGAAACCGGGUCUAAUACUGGAUAUGACUCCAUGACGCAUGUUGUGGGGUGGAAAGCCUUGUGCGGCUGAGGAUGGGCCCGCGGCCUAUCAGCUUG
rnacentral:rRNA from 1 species